rnacentral:rRNA from 1 species
CCACAAGGUCGGGUGGUUUUUUGGUCCUCGGCCGGUACUUGUGGAUUCAAAAGCUCAAGAAAAGCAUCACCCUAUGCUGGUCAAAGAACAGCAGUAGAUGCUAUUCGUACAGUAGGUUUGCAACGAGCAGAAGUUAUGGUAAAGGGCGCUGGUAGUGGAAGAGAUGCCGCAUUACGAGCCAUUGCUAAAAGUGGUGUGCGAUUAAGUUGUAUACGCGAUGUAACACCUAUGCCGCAUAAUGGAUGUCGACCGCCUAAAAAAAGACGUCUGUAA